rnacentral:rRNA from 1 species
GAGCGACAGAGCAUCAAUGAUAAUCGGGCAUAAAGUAUAGUACCGAAGCUAGGAACUCUACGGAGUGGUAGGGGAGCAUUCUAUUUGCAUCGAAGGAAGACCGUAAGGUUUUUUGGAGCGUAUAGAAUAGAAAAUGUAGGCAUAAGUAACGAUAAUGCAGGUGAGAAACCUGCACACCGAAAGACUAAGGUUUCCUGAACAACGCUAAUCGGUUCAGGGUUAGUCGGGACCUAAGGCGAACCCGAAUGGGGUAGUCGAUGGACAAUCAGUUAAUAUUCUGAUACUACCAUUAUCAGUGAUGGAGUGACGAAGUAGUGAAAGAUCCGCGUACUGACGGAAUAGUACGUUGAAGCGAGUAGGUAUAAGUUUUGUUGGCAAAUCCGCAAGACUUGCUGAACGUGAUAGUACCACAAACCUUCGGGCGAGUGGAUAGUGAUCCUAAUCAGACUUCCAAGAAAAACUUCUAAACUUAUGAUAUUGGUACCCGUACCGUAAACCGACACAGGUAGUCGAGGAGAGAAUCCUAAGGUGCUCGAGUGAUUCAUGGCCAAGGAACUAGGCAAAAUAGUCCUGUAACUUCGGGAGAAAGGACGCCUCCCUCUUCGGAGGAGGCCGCAGUGAAUAGGCCCAGGCGACUGUUUAUCAAAAACACAUGGCAUUGCAAAUUCGAAAGAAAAAGUAUAAUGCCUGACACCUGCCCGGUGCUGGAAGGUUAAGGAGAGAUGUUAGAAAUUUAUUUCAAAGCAUUGAACUGAAGCCCCAGUAAACGGCGGCCGUAACUAUAACGGUCCUAAGGUAGCGAAAUUCCUUGUCGGGUAAGUUCCGACCUGCACGAAUGGUGUAACGAUCUGGGCACUGUCUCAGCCAUGAGCUCGGUGAAAUUGUAGUAGCGGUGAAGAUGCCGCUUAAUCGCAACGGGACGGAAAGACCCCGUGAACCUUUACUACAACUUUGUAUUGGUAUUGGGUAAAUAAUGUGUAGGAUAGGUGGGAGACUUUGACCCUGCGUCGCUAGGCGUAGGUUAGUCACUGGUGAAAUACCACCCUUUAUUUAUCUGAUGCCUAACCCAUUUUUGGGGACAUUGCAUGGUGGGUAGUUUGACUGGGGUGGUCGCCUCCAAAAAAGUAACGGAGGCUUUCAAAGGUUCCCUCAGUACGUUUGGUAAUCGUACGUAGAGUGCAAUAGCAUAAGGGAGCUUGACUGUGAGGCUUACAAGCCGAUCAGGUAGGAAACUAGGAUAUAGUGAUCCGGCGGUUCCGCAUGGAAGGGCCGUCGCUCAAAGGAUAAAAGGUACUCCGGGGAUAACAGGCUGAUCUCCCCCAAGAGCUCACAUCGACGGGGAGGUUUGGCACCUCGAUGUCGGCUCGUCCCAUCCUGGGGCUGGAGAAGGUCCCAAGG